GCUAUGGCAGGGGUCCCCAACCACCGGGCCAGGGGCCAGUACCGGUCCAUGGGCGGGGCCGAACUGGGCCGAGGAAACCUUUCAGGCGCAAUGAUAAAAAAAAUACACACACAAAAAAAUACUUUUGUAAAUUAUACAAAUACAAUUAUAAGUAAAUGCAUAUCUAUUUUGGAAAUAUGGGCCAUUAUUCUAUUUUAAAAUUAAUAUAGUUUGAAGCUUUUGCAUGUUUAUGUUGAUUGUUGCGAGUGUCCCACUUUGUUUGAUAGUCCUUGAACGCACCAUUGUACGUGCGCUAGCCUUCUCCCACUCUGCACAGAUUGUCAACUAUACUGUAUUUUUAUCGGGGGUUUUUCACUUCAUAUUUGCUCCGAAAUGCAAUACUCUGUGGGAAUGCAUAAAGUUCACUAGCGAUAGCACACUUCGGAUAUCUCCAUGGCCAGCUCCAGAAGUUCUGCUGAGUCCUGGCAGGAGGUGCACAAGUCCCAGUCCAGUCCCAGAUUGCACUUCCAGCUCUCCCAUCCCUGGUGGUCCCUCUGACUGGACUGAGUGACACAGUCCAGUGAAGGAAAGCAAAGUUCAACAGCCCUCCUUGAUGUAUCCCGCAGCAGGAGCAGGAAGUCGUGGAAGCGGCAGUGCAGACAGGCCAGUAGAAGUUCAGCACAGUCUUCUUGGGAUGGAGAAGUCACACUUUAGCACACAUUACAGUAUAAUUGUAUUGCAAAGAACAGCAGUUUAAGGACCUCCCGGUGUCAUUGCAGCACGUACGGUACCUCCUGUGAUGGGCUGAUGGGAGUCAUCAGAGGAAAACCCACUGCUGCUGCUCUUCAAACUGUCCGAACAUCCGUCCCAACCCGUGUCUUGUUCAUCAUGUCCAGAAGACGUCAGAGGGCUUUCUUUUGAACAAGAGACGGGACUGCAAUGACUGAAACAUUCAAUCUAUAGGAGAGAUCUGUAAUUACAAAGUCACAACAAAAGAGCGAGUGAGGGAUGGCGGGAAAUGACUGUCAGGCCGUAGACGCCAAAGCUCCAAAACACAUUCAAGUGGACGUCAGGUCUGAGAUGGUGUGGCGUCAACAAGGCAUUAGCCAACUCACCCAUUACCAGCAGCCUUCUGGGGCCUUCUUCUGUGGAACUCGAUCUCGUCCACCGUCCACACGGCUCCCUUCACAUUCUCCAGGCGGACAAAGCACUUAUGGAGACUCAGAUUGUGCCUGACAGCGUUCUGGGCAAUUAAAAAAAAAAAAAAAAUUGUACGUAACAAUAAGCACACAUGGACAUAAACUAUAACUGCUAACAAGUUCUCUCAUCAAGUUUGUACCUUCCAUGUCGCUGCAUUGCGUCUGAAAUAGGCAAAGUUUCUUGUGAACCAGUUGUAGAUUUCAUUUAAAGUCAGCUGAUUGCGAGGUGAUUCGUAUAUUGCCUGAAAGUGAUGGAAAACACAAUAUAAUAACAAAGAUUGAGAAUUCCUAGCCUAGUCUAGCAUAGAGUCAAAUUUCGCCUUUACCUGUCGUAUGAGAGACGCAUACGUAAAUGGAGGUCUAACUUCUGCGCUCAGGUAAAACUCCUUGUUAUCAACGAUAUCUGCCGAAAAACAGUGCAAACAAACACUUAAAAUGCAAUCUCAUGGGAUUUUCAUAUUCAGUGUGGGUUUUGAAAUGCUCUCUCGUUAUGUUUUUCUGCUUUGUUUACGUGUCAGGACCUCUGAGAGCAGACAGGAGCUACAAAAACACAAAAACUUUGCGCCCCGAUGAAAUUCAGGUAAAGCCUGUGUAAGCCUGCAGAUUUGCCCACUCACCUUGGCUGACGGAGCGACUGUACCGCCUACGUACAGGGGUCCCUGUGAAGAUGCCAUUCGGGGUGAGGACCGAGGGGGAGUCGGACAGUGGCGUCAGGGGUGUGGAUGGUGCCGUGGCGGUCUGGGACACACUCAUAGGGGGGCCUUUGGGCAGCGUGGUCUGGGAGAAGGACACAUUAGGCACCAGAUUUGUCUGAGAAACACAAAAAUGUAAAGUCAGGAAUAUACUCAAGUACACAAAUGUGAAAAUGCUAAGUGAGGGAAACCUACGGGCUGAGCUGCAGGUUUGGGCUCAGAUGACUUCAGGUGAGCCAUCAUGGCUUGGAGUCGCUCUUUGUCCUUCUUUAGCUGCAUUCAGAGCAUAUAGGAAAAGUGGUGAGCUCACUUUCUGUGCUAUAUAUGUAUAUAUAUAAUAUAUAUACACACACACACACACAACAAAAAUAUAAACGCAUCGCUUUUGUUUUUGUUCCCAUUUUUUAUGAGAUGAACUCAAACAUCUAAAACUUUUUCCACAUACACAAUAUCUCUCAAAUAUUGUUCACAAAUCUGUCUAAACCUGUGAUAGUGAGAACUCCUCCUUUGCCAAGAUAAUCCAUCCCACCUCACAGGUGUGCCAUAUCAAGAUGCUGAUUAGACACCAUGAUUAGUGCACAGGUGUGCCUUAGA